rnacentral:rRNA from 1 species
CUGGCCCUUUAUUUGACGGUAAUCAACCCAGAAAAGUCACGGCUAACUACGUGCCCAGCAGCCGCGGUAAUACGUAGGUGGCAAGCGUUGUCCGGAUUUAUUGGGCGUAAAGCGAGCGCAGGCGGAAGAAUAAGUCUGAUGUGAAAGCCCUCGGCUUAACCGAGGAACUGCAUCGGAAACUGUUUUUCUUGAGUGCAGAAGAGGAGAGUGGUACUCUAUGUGUAGCGGUGGAAUGCGUAGAUAUAUGGAAGAACACCAGUGGCGAAGGCGACUCUCUGGUCUGCAACUGACGCUGAGGCUCGAAAGCAUGGGUAGCGAACAGGAUUAGAUACCCUGGUAGUCCAUGCCGUAAACGAUGAGUGCUAAGUGUUGGGAGGUUUCCGCCUCUCAGUGCUGCAGCUAACGCAUUAAGCACUCCGCCUGGGGAGUACGACCGCAAGGUUGAAACUCAAAGGAAUUGACGGGGGCCCGCACAAGCGGUGGAGCAUGUGGUUUAAUUCGAAGCAACGCGAAGAACCUUACCAGGUCUUGACAUCUAGUGCCAUCCUAAGAGAUUAGGAGUUCCCUUCGGGGACGCUAAGACAGGUGGUGCAUGGCUGUCGUCAGCUCGUGUCGUGAGAUGUUGGGUUAAGUCCCGCAACGAGCGCAACCCUUGUUAUUAGUUGCCAGCAUUAAGUUGGGCACUCUAAUGAGACUGCCGGUGAUAAACCGGAGGAAGGUGGGGAUGACGUCAAGUCAUCAUGCCCCUUAUGACCUGGGCUACACACGUGCUACAAUGGACAGUACAACGAGAAGCGAGCCUGCGAAGGCAAGCGAAUCUCUGAAAGCUGUUCUCAGUUCGGACUGCAGUCUGCAACUCGACUGCACGAAGCUGGAAUCGCUAGUAAUCGCGGAUCAGAACGCCGCGGUGAAUACGUUCCCGGGCCUUGUACACACCGCCCGUCACACCAUGGAAGUCUGCAAUGCCCAAAGCCGGUGGCCUAACCUUCGGGAAGGAGCCGUCUAAGGCAGGGCAGAUGACUGGGGUGAAGUCGAACCAAGGAGAUGAGA